UGGGGAAUUUUGGACAAUGGGGGAAACCCUGAUCCAGCCAUCCCGCGUGUGCGAUGAAGGCCUUCGGGUUGUAAAGCACUUUUGGCAGGAAAGAAACGUCAUGGGUUAAUACCCUGUGAAACUGACGGUACCUGCAGAAUAAGCACCGGCUAACUACGUGCCAGCAGCCGCGGUAAUACGUAGGGUGCAAGCGUUAAUCGGAAUUACUGGGCGUAAAGCGUGCGCAGGCGGUUCGGAAAGAAAGAUGUGAAAUCCCAGAGCUCAACUUUGGAACUGCAUUUUUAACUACCGGGCUAGAGUGUGUCAGAGGGAGGUGGAAGUCCGCGUGUAGCAGUGAAAUGCGUAGAUAUGCGGAGGAACACCGAUGGCGAAGGCAGCCUCCUGGGAUAACACUGACGCUCAUGCACGAAAGCGUGGGGAGCAAACAGG
rnacentral:rRNA from 1 species